rnacentral:rRNA from 1 species
CCCUGCCAUUUGUACACACCGCCCGUCGCACCUACCGAUUGAAUGGUCCGGUGAAAUCUUGGGAUUCUGUUGAAUUAUAUUUAUUUAUUUUUUUACGGGAGAACUUGAGUAAACCUUACCAUUUAGAGGAAGGU